rnacentral:lncRNA from 1 species
GCUUUCGGGCUCGGCGCAGUCUGCGGGCGGGAGGGCGCCGGCGAGGUGGCGAGGGCGGCUGGCGCGGGGGCGCGGGAGCCCCGGCUAAGCCCGGGGACGGGAGGGCGCCCCCUCCCAGCGCCCGAACCCAGGCAACUUCCCGCCGCCCGGGCAGGAGUUUCUCCGUAGCCCACGGACAUCCGGGAGGCUUGUGGAGGGCAGGCGGGUAACCCCCACUCCCACCCCACCUUUAUCCAGGGGCAGCCAGAGGAGCCAGCAGGUCGGGACUCGCUGAGGGGGCUCCACGCGGGGCCUCCCACGCACAGGGACAGCGUCUGCUAUGUUGUCCAGGCUGGUCUCAAAUUCCUUGCCUCAAGCGAUCCAACUGCCUCAGCCUCCCGAGUCACUGGGAUUACAGGCAUGAAGACAUUGUUUUCAAGGGAUCACUCUGCUUUGUGGAGACUAGACUGUGAGGAGCAAGCCUCGAAAGGGGAGAGCUGUUUCGAGGGCCCAAAGCAGGAUGGAGAUAAAGAUGCCCAGAAGAAACCAAAGCCUUCUUGGGGGAAACUGUAAGAAGUCAGGAGGGAAUUCUUUAUUAGAAAUUGAAGAUCCCGCUGGGCGUGGUGGCUCAUGCCUGUAAUCCCAGCACUUUGGGAGGCCGAGGUGGACAGAUCACCUGAGGUAGAAGUUCGAGACCAGCCUGGCCAACAUAGCAAAACCCCAUCUCUACUAAAAAUACAAAAAUUAGCCGGGCGUGAUGGCACGCACCUGUAAUCCCAGCUACUCAGGAAGCUAAGGCAGGAGAAUCACUUGAACUUGGGAGGUGGAGGUUGUAGUGAGCCAAGAUGGCGCCAUUGCACUCCAGCCUAGGCAACAAGAGCGAGACUCCAUCUCAAAAAAAAAAAAGAAAAAGAAAAGAAAAGAAAAAAAAAGAAAGAAAGAAGUUGAAGAUCAAAGCUGGAGACCAGGACUCUUGACAAAUCUGACCAGAUUUGAAACACACCUAAGAAAUGUAAGACUCAAUUAAUUCUACAUGAGCCUAAGAAUUAAACCAAAUAAAGAAUGACAACACAAGUAAUGAGGAUACUGGCUUAUGCCUAGGUGUUUGUAUUUCUUUAGGUCUAACUCCAACUGUAUAUCCUAUUUUAAAUUAAUAUUUGUUAUUCUUUGUUUUUUGUUAUUUUAAUAAAAAGCUCUAUUUAAAUGUAUUUAAAUAACAUUAGCCAGAUGUGGUGGCUCAUGCCUGUAAUCCCAGCACUUUGGGAGGCUGAGGCAGGUGGAUUGCUUGAGCUCAGGAGUUUGAGGACAGCCUGGCCAACAUGAUGGAACCACGUCUCUACAAAAAUACAAAAAUUAGCCAGGCAUGGUGGCACACACCUGUAGUCUCAGCUACUUGGGAGGCUGAGGUGGGAAGACUGCUUGAGCCUGGGAGGUUCAGGCUACCAUGAGCCUUGAUCACACCACUGCUCUCAAGCCAAGGCAACAGAGUGAGACCCCAUCUCAAAACAAAACAAAAAGAGAACACUAAUGCCGUUAGAAAAGAAUGCUUUCAUUACUAACACCACUGGGGAGCCAAGCAAUUCAAACCCGCCUGACUCCAUGUGGCAGCUUAUUUCAAGUACAGGCAAGGAGACUCAAAGGAAAUAAACAGUGUGUGGGGGUUCUAGCGAUGCAAACCUAUAAGGUUCUUGUAACUAUCAUAAUGCUUGAUCAAUACUUAUUAACAAACCACAUUCUAGGAGGAACAAGUUUUAAAAGCCUGAAAAUUGGACAGCCAACGUCCU